AGCGAAACUGCGAAUGGCUCAUUAUAUAAGUUAUCGUUUAUUUGAUAGUGCCUUACUACUUGGAUAACCGUGGUAAUUCUAGAGCUAAUACAUGCUAAAAACCCCGACUCCGGGAGGGGUGUAUUUAUUAGAUUAAAAACCAAUGCCCUUCGGGGCUCACUGGUGAUUCAUGAUAACUUCUCGAAUCGCACGGCCUUGCGCCGGCGAUGGUUCAUUCAAAUUUCUUCCCUAUCAACUUUCGAUGUUUGGGUAGUGGCCAAACAUGGUGGCAACGGGUAACGGAGGGUUAGGGCUCGACCCCGGAGAAGGAGCCUGAGAAACGGCUACUACAUCCAAGGAAGGCAGCAGGCGCGCAAAUUACCCAAUCCCGAUACGGGGAGGUAGUGACAAUAAAUACUGAUACAGGGCUCUUUUGGGUCUUGUAAUCGGAAUGAGUACAAUUUAAAUCCCUUAACGAGGAACAAUUGGAGGGCAAGUCUGGUGCCAGCAGCCGCGGUAAUUCCAGCUCCAAUAGCGUAUAUUAAAGUUGUUUGUGGUUAAAAGCUCGUAGUUGAACCUUGCGCCCUGGCUGGCCGGUCCGCCUCACCGCGUGCACUGGUCCGGCCGGGGCUUUCCCUCUGUGGAACCCCAUGCCCUUUACUGGGCGUGGCGGGGAAACAGGACUUUUACUUUGAAAAAAUUAGAGUGCUCCAGGCAGGCCUAUGCUCGAAUACAUUAGCAUGGAAUAAUAGAAUAGGACGUGUGGUUCUAUUUUGUUGGUUUCUAGGACCGCCGUAAUGAUUGAUAGGGACAGUCGGGGGCAUCAGUAUUCAAUUGUCAGAGGUGAAAUUCUUGGAUUUAUUGAAGACUAACUACUGCGAAAGCAUUUGCCAAGGAUGUUUUCAUUAAUCAGGAACGAAAGUUAGGGGAUCGAAGACGAUCAGAUACCGUCGUAGUCUUAACCAUAAACUAUGCCGACUAGGGAUCGGGCGAUGUUUUUCUUUGACUCGCCCGGCACCUUACGAGAAAUCAAAGUGCUUGGGCUCC
rnacentral:rRNA from 1 species